rnacentral:rRNA from 1 species
GUGCUUCGUUUCGAGCGUCAACUUACCUCCAGCCUGAUUCGAUUCGAGGACACUGCCAGGCGGGGAGUUUGACUGGGGCGGUACAUCUGUCAAAGAAUAACGCAGGUGUCCUAAGGCCAGCUCAGCGAG